rnacentral:tRNA from 1 species
GCAGUAAGAGCUCAGUGGUAGAGUGCGUGCUUAACAUGCAUAAAGUCUGAGGUUCAAUCCCCAGUACCUCCA